rnacentral:ncRNA from 1 species
GAGAGCCGUGUGCGGGAGAACUGCAUGCACGGUUCGGAGGGAGGGGCGGGUAUACCGUCCCUACCCCUAU